UACGGGGGGGGCAAGCGUUGUUCGGAAUUACUGGGCGUAAAGGGCUCGUAGGCGGCCAACUAAGUCAGACGUGAAAUCCCUCGGCUUAACCGGGGAACUGCGUCUGAUACUGGAUGGCUUGAGUUUGGGAGAGGGAUGCGGAAUUCCAGGUGUAGCGGUGAAAUGCGCAGAUAUCAGGAAGAACACCCGUGGCGAAGGCGGCUUACUGGUCCGGUUCUGACGCUGAGGCGCGAAAGCGUGGGGAGCAAACAGG
rnacentral:rRNA from 1 species